GAGUUUGAUCCUGGCUCAGAACGAACGCUGGCGGCGUGCCUAACACAUGCAAGUCGAACGUGAUCCAGAGCUUGCUCUGGUGAAAGUGGCGCACGGGUGAGUAACGCGUGGAUAACCUACCCUGGUAUCCGGGAUAACAUUCCGAGAGGGGUGCUAAUACCGGAUAAGCCCACGGGCUCUUUGGAGCUUGCGGGAAAAGGUGGCCUCUAUUUAUAAGCUACUGUAUCAGGAUGGGUCCGCGUACCAUUAGCUAGUUGGCGGUGUAACGGACCACCAAGGCGACGAUGGUUAGCUGGUCUGAGAGGAUGAUCAGCCACACUGGAACUGAGACACGGUCCAGACUCCUACGGGAGGCAGCAGUGGGGAAUUUUGCGCAAUGGGGGAAACCCUGACGCAGCAACGCCGCGUGAGUGAUGAAGGCCUUUGGGUCGUAAAGCUCUGUCAGAAGGGGAAGAAAUGAUAUAGUGCUAAUACCACUUUAUCUUGACGGUACCCUCAAAGGAAGCACCGGCUAACUCCGUGCCAGCAGCCGCGGUAAUAC
rnacentral:rRNA from 1 species